UGACGUCAAAUCAUCAUGCCCUUAUGACCUGGGCUACACACGUGCUACAAUGGGCGGUACAAAGGGUCGCGAACCCGCGAGGGGAGCCAAUCCCAAAAAGCCGCUCUCAGUUCGGAUUGCAGGCUGCAACUCGCCUGCAUGAAGCCGGAAUCGCUAGUAAUCGCGGAUCAGCAUGCCGCGGUGAAUACGUUCCCGGGCCUU
rnacentral:rRNA from 1 species